GACUUCGUAGCUCAGCUGGUAGAGCGCUUGUCGCGUUUAGGCGUGGUAUUUCUGUCGCUGGUUCGAAUCCAACCGAAGUCC
rnacentral:tRNA from 1 species